GGCUCAGUAGCGUAGUGGUUAUCGCGCACUCUUCGGGCAAUCCUGUCCAUCUCUAUCAUAGGGAAACUGAGUGAGGUCCUGGGUUCAAAUCCCGGCUGAGCCC